ensembl:miRNA
AGCUGUAGCUGUGGGCCGGGGGGUGAGCUACCUAGCCCGGGCUGCUCUGCUGA